CUCCUGAUUUGCAACGAGAAAAGCUGUUAAUACUGCACAGGGGUAGGAAGAACACCAGACCUCCAGAGAAGGAAUGAGACACGAACUCCCUAGAAGUGGCGAAAUCAAAUGAACAUCUCGCCCCUUAAUUUUCAAGGUGUUGUCAGAUGACCCCAUAUGUCUUUUGUGGCAUCUCCCCCUCCAGUGCAGAAUCCGGUCUAAGUACUGGCUGACUUGUGCAGCGGCUUGAGCCUGUGUGCGCGCGGCUCUGACUGCUGAGCCAACAGGCUGCACUAAGGAGAACGGCCUCCCCGGAACUCCACGUAGCCGUGGCUCGUGGCCUGGAUGAUUGAAACGGCACCAAUAAAAGUCUGACCCUGUGGAAGGAGACAUGCGUGGACCUGGUUAUCUCUGAACUUUCACUGCUCACGGCAGAGACUGUAAAGAUUUUUAACCGGGGCGUCCCUGGAGGUCUUUGAGAAUGAGAAAAAUACCCAUCAGUCAAGGAGAAGUAGAAGUGACAAGAUGGAUUUAUAGAGCCCUCCAGGGUUCUGCUUUCCAGUAGCCUUCAAAUGGAUUUCCCCCACCCAAACCACAUCUGCUUUGUAAUCCAAAAGCCUUCCCGACUGCAAUAAAGCUGCUGUAUUGAUUUCACACAAGUGAAAAGUAAAGUAACAAAAGGGCAUGGGAGAGAAGGAAAGCACCAAGAAUGAGA